AUUGAACGCUGGCGGCAGGCCUAACACAUGCAAGUCGAACAAGUGGCGGACGGGUGAGUAAUGUCUGGGAAACUGCCUGAUGGAGGGGGAUAACUACUGGAAACGGUAGCUAAUACCGCAUACCAUCGGAUGUGCCCAGAUGGGAUUAGCUAGUAGGUGGGGUAAAGGCUCACCUAGGCGACGAUCACUAGCUGGUCUGAGAGGAUGACGCGCCACACUGGAACUGAGACACGGUCCAGCCUCCUACGGUAGGCAGCGGUGGGGAAUAUUGCACGAUGGGCGCAAGCCUGAUGCAGCCAUGCCGCGUGUAUGAAGAAGGCCUUCGGGUUUUAAAGUACUUGCAGCGGGGAGGCGUUACCCGCAGAAGAAGCACCGGCUAACUCCGUGCCAGCCGCCGCGGUAAUUC
rnacentral:rRNA from 1 species